CCUGCUCUCUGAGGAGGUGACAGGUGACUCUCCUUGAGGAGGUGACAGUUCCUGCUCUCUGAGGAGGUACCAGGAGCCCACACUGUGUCUGAGCCCCCCC